GACGAACGCUGGCGGCGUGCCUAAUACAUGCAAGUCGAGCGAAUUUUUUCUGGUUCUUGCACUAGAAAAACUUAGCGGCGAACGGGUGAGUAACACGUAAAGAACCUGCCUCAUAGACUGGGACAACUAUUGGAAACGAUAGCUAAUACCGGAUAACAGUAUUUCUCGCAUGAGAGAUAUUUAAAAGUUGGUUAUGCUAACACUAUGAGAUGGCUUUGCGGUGCAUUAGCUAGUUGGUGGGGUAAAGGCCCACCAAGGCGACGAUGCAUAGCCGACCUGAGAGGGUGAUCGGCCACACUGGGACUGAGACACGGCCCAGACUCCUACGGGAGGCAGCAGUAGGGAAUCUUCCGCAAUGGGCGAAAGCCUGACGGAGCAACGCCGCGUGAGUGAAGAAGGAUUUCGGUUCGUAAAGCUCUGUUGUUAGGGAAGAAUGGAUAUGUAGUAACUAUACAUGUAAGAGACGGUACCUAACCAGAAAGCCACGGCUAACUACGUG
rnacentral:rRNA from 1 species